CCUACGGGUGGCAGCAGUGAGGAAUAUUGGUCAAUGGACGAGAGUCUGAACCAGCCAAGUAGCGUGAAGGAUGACUGCCCUAUGGGUUGUAAACUUCUUUUAUAUGGGAAUAAAACGUUCCACGUGUGGGAUUUUGUAUGUACCAUAUGAAUAAGGAUCGGCUAACUCCGUGCCAGCAGCCGCGGUAAUACGGAGGAUCCGAGCGUUAUCCGGAUUUAUUGGGUUUAAAGGGUGCGUAGGUGGAUUUUUAAGUGAGUUGUGAAAGUGUGCGGGUCAAACGUAAAAUUGCAGUUGAAACUGGAAGACGUGAGUACAGUAGAGGUGGGCGGAAUUAGUGGUGUAGCGGUGAAAUGCUUAGAUAUAACGAAGAACUCCGAUUGCGAAGGCAGUUCACUGGACUGCAACUGACACUGAGGCUCGAGAGUGUGGGUAUCAAACAGGAUUAGAUACCCCAGUAGUC
rnacentral:rRNA from 1 species